UUCCCAUCUGUGUCUUCUACAAAGUUCUAUUUGCUUUUUCUCUCAGUCUCCUUUGUGGAUUGCUCCUCCUCCAGCUUCGUCCCCUCUCUGUAUUGUCUUAGCUCAGUUCUCCAGGGCCGCAGCUGUGGUCGCAAGGGUCUGAUACGUGGGGUGAAGGGAGAGGAGUUGGUGAUGGGUGGUGAGGAGGUGCCAGGGUCAGCUGUGCCUCAGGGGCUUUGCGCUGAGGUCAGCCAGGCAGAUGGCCAGUGUUGAGAUCAGGUUCAGUCUGGACAGCGCUCUAGAGAAUCCAGGCCAGAAAGUGCAGAGUGCAGCGCCCUCCUCUGGGUGUGGCCAGUGUUUUCAACACCCUUUUUUUUGACUUUGCAAAUAGAGAAAUUGUGCUCCUUUCUCUUCUCCUGGUGCUUAGCAGUCCACGGUAGGGGAUGUUGAAAGGGUCAUUAAAAAAGGGAAGUAGUAAGUCUCUAAAUCCUCCUUUUUUUUGAGCACUUGUGGAGGUGGCCUCGCCCUGCUUUGCUAGCAGUGUUCUGUCCUUCCACAUCAGCAGCCCUUGGGAUGAUGGCAGCUCCGAUGGGAUCUCAGUGGGUUUUUUAAGCCCCUUCAGGGUUUUUUGCCCGUGGACGUACUUGGGAGUGCUGCUCGCAUUGCAGAGGCGGAGCCAUCUCCAGCUAGCCCAGCAGCAUGGAUCGAAUUGACCCAGGCCUCUGGGCAGUUUUCCUGAUUUAGUCUUUCCUUUAACCUCCCAGCAGCAUGGAUCAAAUUGACCCAGGCCUCUGGGCACAGUUUUCCUCAUUUAGUCUUUCCUUUAACCUCACCUGAAAAAAGACUCUUACCAGCAUUUUAUGGGAUGACUGCUGAACUCAGAAGGCAGCAUGCUAGGCCUGAGUCCCACGCUGUGCCUGGGCGUCGGCAGAAUACCAUUGUGGUGAAGGUGCCGGUCCAAGAAGACAGCCACCACGAAGACGGGGAGAGCAGCUUGGAGGCCAGCGACUCUGUGUCCAGCUAUGGACAGGCGGGCAGCCAGAGCAUUGGGAGCAACGUCACCCUCAUCACCCUGAACUCAGAAGGUGCGUCCCAGGCGUCUUUCCUCAGCCAGAGCACCAGUAGGAUUUUUUGUUUGUUUUGCUUUUUAGAAAUUUUGUUGUUUUUUAAAGAAGUGAUACAGUGGCCAGGCGCGGUGGCUCACGCCUGUAAUCCCAGCACUUUGGGAGGCUGAGGCUGGCAGAUCACCUGAAGUCGGGAGUUCGAGACCAGCCUGACCAACAUGGAGAAACCCUGUCUCUACUGAAAAUACAAAAUUAGCCAGGUGUGGUGGCAGGUGCCUGUAAUCCUAGCUACUCGGGAGGCUGAGGCAGGAAAAUCGCUUGAACCUGGGAGGUGGAGGUUGUGGUGAACCGAGAUCAUGCCAUUGCAUCCAGCCUGGGCAAUAGAGCGAAACUCCGUCUCAAAAAAAAAAAAAGUGAUACAGUAUAGGACACGUGCAGUGGCUCACGCCUAUAAUCCCAGCACUUUAGGAGGCUGAGGCGGGUGGAUCACGAGGUCAGGAGUUCAAGACCAGCCUGGCCAAAAUGGUGAAACCCUGUCUCUACUAAAACUACAAAAAUUAGUCGGGCACGGUGACAGGUGCCUGUAAUCUCAGCUACUUGGGAGGCUGAGGCAGGAGAAUUGCUUGAACCUGGGUGGCAGAGCUUGCAGUGAGCUGAGAUCGCACCACUGUACUCCAGCCUGGGCGACAGAGACUCUGUCUCAAAAAAAAAACAAAAACAAAAAAUAGUGAUACAGUAUAAAAAUGAAGAAUAAAGGGAAAAUAACUGUGAUUCCACCAUUCUGAGAUCUCUAAACCUUUUGGGGGUUUUCUUUGUGCACAUUUCAUGAUUUUAUAACUCACUUCUUUCCCCUACACAGUAGAAAUCUUUCCAUGUUAGUGCAGAUGGACAGAGUCAUUUUUAGCCAGUUUUGCUUAUUUCAUUGGGUCUGGAUGCUUUCCACGGAUGGCCCCCUGUAACCUUUCAUUAUUGAAACUAGCAUUGGCCUGCUGUGUUUUCAUGUUCUCUUGGAUCAGUGUCUGGACAUGGGCUCUCAGAGGCAGGUCGCUGGGCUAGAGGACGCGGCCUCCACGGGGUCCAUGGCACAGGAUGCACUGCCCCCGAGAUCUGGAAGGAUGUGAACCUGUUUGUCCUACUUGGACUCCUAGCGGGGGCUUCUCUCCUGCAGGGCUCUGAGGUGCCCUCCCACCUGGCCCUCAGCCUGCCCAGUGUGCCUUUCAGAGCCCUCUUCCCCUGAGAGUCUCUGUGUGCCCUUCAUCCUGUCACCAUAAAUGACCAGAUGACUGUCAGUUACUACAGCGUGGAGAAAAGAAAGAACCAAGCAGACAGCUUUGUGCGUGGAGUUGUAAAGCAUGUGUUUUCCUUACUUACUAGGAAGAACUCAAAGUUUUUCUGCCUCUGCGUCUGAGUUGUUGAUUUUUCCUAGCAACUCGAUGUUGCUUUGUCUACUGAACAAAGGUUUUCCUGUUAGGAAGGCUCAUUACCAUAUCUGAAACAUUGAAAACAACGUUUUCCACAAAAAUUGCUUUUACCUCUAAUACAAAUUGCUAGGAUUCAGAUGGCAGAAUGGCGGGAAGAGAGAGAGGUUGAGUUGAUCUUUUUUUUUUUCAAGUUGAGAUCUAAUUUAUAUACCAUAAAAUUGACUGUUUUAAAGCAUACAUCUCAGUGGUUUUUAGUAUAUUCUCAAGGUUGUACAGUCAUCACUUCGGACUAAUUCUAGAAUAUUUUUUAUUACCCCCAGAAGAAGCCCUGUGUCCAUCAACAGUCACUUUCCAUUCUCCCAGCCUCCAGCCCUGGCACCCAACUCAUCUCCGUCCUUGAGGAUGUGCCUGUUGUGGACCUUGACUCUAAAUGGAAUCCUGUAGCAUCACCCACAUUGUAGCUUUUGCCCCAGUGCUUUGUUCCUUUUCAUGGCUGCAUGAUAUGCCGAGGUAUGGAUGGCCCACAUUCUGUUGAUCCAUCAUCAGUUGAUGGGCAUCUGGGUUGUUCGCACUUUUUGGCUGUUGUCAGGAAUGCUGCUGUGAACGUUGAGGUGCAGGUUUUUGUGUAUGUAUGAAUUGCAGGAUCAGGGCAAUGGAGUUUUUCACACAUUAAAUUUGAGGAAAGGAGGGAUGCUCCUGAUUUCAUUUUCAUGGCAAUUGAAAAUCACAUUGCAGUAACAACAGACUAAUUGUUGUAAUUAUUUUUCGAUGUGGAUUUUGUGUAAAUCCCCACGUAGAUCUGGCCACCCCCUU
ensembl:lincRNA